UACGUAGGGGGCAAGCGUUGUCCGGAUUUAUUGGGCGUAAAGAGCGUGUAGGCGGCCAGGUAGGUCCGUUGUGAAAACUCGAGGCUCAACCUUCAGAGGUCGACCGAAACCAUCUGGCUAGAGUCCGGGAGAGGAGAGUGGAAUUCCUGGUGUAGCGGUGAAAUGCGCAGAUAUCAGGAAGAACACCCGUGGCGAAAGCGGCUCUCUGGAACGGUACUGACGCUGAGACGCGAAAGCGUGGGGAGCGAACAGG
rnacentral:rRNA from 1 species